rnacentral:lncRNA from 1 species
UUUCCCCUGAUAAAAAGCCAGCCACACACUCUCCCUGGCAAGAGGCAAAAAACGAAGGCACCCCCCGGUGGAUUUCAUUUUUUCUCCCGGGCAGCCACCAUCAGAAAAAUAGACAGCCACCCCCUAGCCCCAAUCUUGAAUUUUUCUUCCCACAACCCCUCACCUGACUUUGUUCCCCAAAUCCAUUUCCAGCACCAUCUCCAACCCUUUUUCCCGUUACAACAGCCCCCACAUUUUGUUUUCCUUUGAAUAGAAUCCGAGAGCAAAAAGCACGGACCAGCCCCUUCACCAUUUUUUUUUUCCUCCCUCAGCCGAACGCAACCACCCCCUCAGCCUCUUCUCUGCGGCUGCUCCUUCACCCUGAAACCGGCCACCGCUGAGCUCACUCCCUCUCCGGGUCAACAAACAGACCCGACCGCAGACCCACAGCCUCCAUCUUUCCCAGCCACCAGAGAAGUCGCCGCUGACGAGCCACGCACCAGUCUUCUCUCGACCACCAGGAGUCGCCCUCGGCUCCACCGGCCAACAACAGUCCUUCUUCCUCCAGCAGUGCUGCCUGAUCUGGCACUCGAAGCGGAGGAGAAGAAGAUGAAACCCAGCUGCCACCAACUGGGUUGAAGGCCAUCUCCACUGCCAGCAGCGACCCCAACAGCGCCGCCCGAAGUAGAGGCUGACCCGAGGCAAAGCCGAUCUGCCAAGAAGAAGAAAAAACAGAAGCCGAUCUGCCAAGAAAAAAAAGGAACCGAAGCAGAUUUUAGAACAAAGACAAAAAAAUUAAAAUCGACUGUGUUGUGUUUUUUCUGUUAUUGUAGGUAACGGCGGUCCUCAUCGCCGGCGUUGGGAGGCUGAGAAGAGGGAGUCGAUCCAGCCCCUUGCUGUUGGGUUUUCUUACGGGGCGCGUGGACCCACGCGCCGCCAGUGGCGGUGGUGCGUGGAUCCACGCGCCGGAACUGUUCACGCAGCCCCCAGGAGUCCUUCCCUGCAAUUUCUGGAGUUUUUAGGGACCAUUUUGUAAAUUUUAAAGUUUUAAUGUAAUUUUUGUUUAUUUAUUUUAAAUUUGUAAUAUGUGAAUGUAAAAAAAAGAAAAGAAAAUAAAUAAUAAAAAGAGAUGUGUGC